rnacentral:rRNA from 1 species
UAGAUACCCGUCUAUUCAUGAUAUAAAGAAUGGUCAAAUAUUACGAACAACAGUUUAAAACUCAAAGAUUUUGGCGGUGUCUUAUAAAAUCAGGGGAACCUGUCUCAUAACUCGAUAAUCCACGCGUACUCAACCACCUCUAGAAUACAGCCUGUAUACUGCCGUUGUAAGUAUACCUCUAAAAGAAACAGUAUACAACUAUGACCUCAUAUACAUCAGGUCAAAGUGCAGCUAAUAAGGUGGUGACGAUGGGUUACAACCCCAAAAAAGACUAUCAACUAAGAAAUAAAAAAUCUUAUGAAAGUGGACUUGACCGUAAUCAAGAACAUAAUAAAAAAAUGAAUAAUAAUCUAAGACAUGCACACAUCGCCCGUCACUCUACCCUAAAGGCUAGAUAAGUCGU